CCUACGGGGUGCAGCAGUGGGGAAUAUUGCACAAUGGGGGAAACCCUGAUGCAGCGACGCCGCGUGAGUGAAGAAGUAUUUCGGUACGUAAAGCUCUAUCAGCAGGGAAGAAAAUGACGGUACCUGACUAAGACUCCCCGGCUAACUACGUGCCAGCAGCCGCGGUAAUACGUAGGGGGCAAGCGUUAUCCGGAUUUACUGGGUGUAAAGGGAGCGUAGACGGCAGCGCAAGUCUGGAGUGAAAUCCCAUGGCUUAACCAUGGAACUGCUUUGGAAACUGUGCAGCUAGAGUGCAGGAGAGGUAAGCGGAAUUCCUAGUGUAGCGGUGAAAUGCGUAGAUAUUAGGAGGAACACCAGUGGCGAAGGCGGCUUACUGGACUGUAACUGACGUUGAGGCUCGAAAGCGUGGGGAGCAAACAGGAUUAGAUACCCCAGUAGUC
rnacentral:rRNA from 1 species